rnacentral:rRNA from 1 species
CCUACGGGAGGCAGCAGUGAGGAAUAUUGGUCAAUGGACGAGAGUCUGAACCAGCCAAGUAGCGUGAAGGAUGACUGCCCUAUGGGUUGUAAACUUCUUUUAUAAAGGAAUAAAACGAGGCACGUGUGCCUCUUUGCAUGUACUUUAUGAAUAAGGAUCGGCUAACUCCGUGCCAGCAGCCGCGGUAAUACGGAGGAUCCGAGCGUUAUCCGGAUUUAUUGGGUUUAAAGGCAGCGUAGAUGGGUUGUUAAGUCAGUUGUGAAAGUUUGCGGCUUAACCGUAAAAUUGCAAUUGAUACUGGCAGUCUUGAGUACAGUUGAGGUAGGCGGAAUUCGUGGUGUAGCGGUGAAAUGCUUAGAUAUCACGAAGAACCCCGAUUGCGAAGGCAGCUUACUAAACUGUGACUGACAUUGAUGCUCGAAAGCGUGGGGAGCAAACGGGAUUAGAUACCCCUGUAGUC